GAGAGGGCUGUAAAAGCACUAUGAAGUGGUAAAUAAGUCUAAGUGCUAUUGCUAUUCUGCUCUGAAGAGGGUGAAAGCUAAGUCAGAAAUUCAACCAUACUGGUCAGAUCUCAUCACCUUGACAAAGAGUGUCUCAUCCAA